rnacentral:ribozyme from 1 species
CUUUUCAAGUUUUUUUUUUUUUUUUUUUUCGCCUUUUUCUUG